rnacentral:rRNA from 1 species
AACGAACGCUGGCGGCAUGCCUAACACAUGCAAGUCGAACGAGACCUUCGGGUCUAGUGGCGCACGGGUGCGUAACGCGUGGGAACCUGCCCUUAGGUUCGGAAUAACUCCCCGAAAGGGGUGCUAAUACCGGAUAAUGUCUUCGGACCAAAGAUUUAUCGCCCUUGGUUGGGCCCGCGUUGGAUUAGCUAGUUGGUAGGGUAAAAGCAUACCAAGGCGACGAUCCAUAGCUGGUCUGAGAGGAUGAUCAGCCACACUGGGACUGAGACACGGCCCAGACUCCUACGGGAGGCAGCAGUGGGGAAUAUUGGACAAUGGGCGAAAGCCUGAUCCAGCAAUGCCGCGUGAGUGAUGAAGGCCUUAGGGUUGUAAAGCUCUUUUACCCGGGAUGAUAAUGACAGUACCGGGAGAAUAAGCCCCGGCUAACUCCGUG